CUCUUAUCUACUGCAGCUUCUAGGUCCUUCGGAUCCCUUCCCCUGUUAAAAAAACCUUGUCUGUCACUUGGUGUGGGUAUGGGUGUUAUGCAGGAGAGGUCGCAUGUGGGUGGGAAUCGGUGGAAAUAAACAACUGGACCAGGAUGAGGUAGUGGUGCGUGGGACCCCUAGUGGACGCGUGUGCAUCUGACGCAAGGCGGCUAGAGGCAUUUACAAUGUGCUGGAUUAGAUCAAUUCUCCAUCUCCAUCCAGAGACUUGAAAACAAACAGCACAGCGCUUUCCUUUUUCCCCUAAAAAAGCAGCGGCAGAGCGCAGCCCCCUUCUCCCCCCAUAUCCAAUCGCGCCCUCGUUGAGGAAGCAGGCAGCCUCCGAGGCGCCCCUCUCCCGCAGCUCGAACCCGAGUGGGUCGAGCCAGUCACCCCCGCCGGCGAUCUGCAGCAGCAGCAGCAAGACCCGCCGGAGAACUCAGAACAACAACAAUGGCGCUGCCACUAUAGAGCUGCCGUCACGCCCGCAUCAAGUUCGCCGAAAUCUGUGCACCCACGCCCGCCGCUGCGACCUAGCAUGCCCGCGUCACAGCAGGAGAAGGACCAUCUCCGGCAAGUGGCCUCGACCGCCUCCUUCUAUUCCUGCUCGCGGCCAGCGCCUCGUCCAAGCGCAGACCACCAGCCGCCUCGCCCUCUGCUGUCGUCCCGAUUUGGCCCGCCACUUCAUCCUCGUUGGUGAGCGGCAAGCAGGCCAUGAGAGAGGGGGCGACGAGGAAGGGGGGUGUACCGAAGCUGGUUGCGUGGGAGCGAAGGUCGCGUGGCUAUGUGGGCCUGAUUUACUGGGCCGAAGCGCACGGGUGGGCAUCGUUUGGUUGAUGCACACGACCUGGUUCUCCGAAUUAGUAUCAUCUCACCCAUAUGUUUUAAAUUUAAACUGAAAGCGUAAAUUUACAGGAAGAAAACGUAUUGUGACGAUGAA